rnacentral:miRNA from 1 species
UAGAUUGCUGUAUAUGUGG